rnacentral:rRNA from 1 species
UACGUAGGGGGCGAGCGUUGUCCGGAAUCACUGGGCGUAAAGGGCGCGUAGGCGGUAUAUUAAGUCAGGUGUGAAAGUUUUCGGCUCAACCGGAAAAGUGCACUUGAAACUAAUAAACUUGAGUACUGGAGAGGUAAGCGGAAUUCCUAGUGUAGCGGUGAAAUGCUUAGAUAUCACACAGAACACCGAUUGCGAAGGCAGCACACUAAGUCAUUAUUGACGCUGAGGCACGAAAGUGUGGGGAUCAAACAGGAUUAGAUACCCUGGUAGU